AGAGUUUGAUCCUGGCUCAGGAUGAACGCUAGCUACAGGCUUAACACAUGCAAGUCGAGGGGCAUCAUUAUCGAAGCUUGCUUUGAUAGAUGGCGACCGGCGCACGGGUGAGUAACGCGUAUCCAACCUUCCCCUUAGUAGGGCACAGCCGGGCGAAAGUCGGAUUAAUUCCCUAUGUUGUUUGAUGCUGACAUCAAAAUCAAACCAAAGAUUCAUCGCUAAGGGAUGGGGAUGCGUCUGAUUAGAUAGUAGGCGGGGUAACGGCCCACCUAGUCAACGAUCAGUAGGGGUUCUGAGAGGAAGGUCCCCCACAUUGGAACUGAGACACGGUCCAAACUCCUACGGGAGGCAGCAGUGAGGAAUAUUGGUCAAUGGGCGAGAGCCUGAACCAGCCAAGUAGCGUGCAGGAUGACGGCCCUAUGGGUUGUAAACUGCUUUUAUACGGGGAUAAAGUGGGCCAUGCAUGGCCUUUUGCAUGUACCGUAUGAAUAAGGACCGGCUAAUUCCGUGCCAGCAGCCGCGGUAAUACGGAAGGUCCGGGCGUUAUCCGGAUUUAUUGGGUUUAAAGGGAGCGCAGGCGGACAGUUAAGCGUGACGUGAAAUGCAGCGGCUCAACCGUAUGAAGUGCGUCGCGAACUGGCAGUCUUGAGUGAGUACGAUGUAGGCGGAAUUUGUGGUGUAGCGGUGAAAUGCUUAGAUAUCACGAAGAACUCCGAUUGCGAAGGCAGCCUACAAGUCCUUUACUGACGCUAAAGCUCGAAGGUGCGGGUAUCGAACAGGAUUAGAUACCCUGGUAGUCCGCACGGUAAACGAUGGAUGCCCGCUGUUUGCGAUAUAUUGUGAGCGGCCAAGCGAAAGCGUUAAGCAUCCCACCUGGGGAGUACGCCGGCAACGGUGAAACUCAAAGGAAUUGACGGGGGCCCGCACAAGCGGAGGAACAUGUGGUUUAAUUCGAUGAUACGCGAGGAACCUUACCCGGGCUUGAACUGCAGCAGAACGAUUGAGAGAUCAUGAGGUCUUCGGGACUGCUGUGGAGGUGCUGCAUGGUUGUCGUCAGCUCGUGCC
rnacentral:rRNA from 1 species